rnacentral:rRNA from 1 species
AUGCUUGAGAAAAGUAUAAGGAAAUUAAUGGGCCAAGGCGACCUUUCUCUUUGCCAUGGGAGGGGUCGAUCGACAUCUAUAAAUAGCGGCCUUCGGCGCGCAGCAUCUGCAAACAAACAACACAACUCCUCCAAGCCCCAACUAGUUACAACCCAGCCACAUCGAUUCACGAUGGCGUCCUUGGCCAGAGCCGCCCGUUUGAUGGUGCUCCUGCAGAUCGCGCUGUUCGUCGUCGUCUCCGCGGUGAUCAUGAGCAGCUCCGUCUGCCACGGAGCCGGGAUCGGUCCUGGUGCUCUGGACCCUAGCCGCCGCCCCAUAUGCGGAGGCAGACCGUGCGGACAGCCUGGCCUGCCGUACGGCGGCCGUCCUCGGCCCUACCCUUACCGUCCGCAGCCCGGCCCCGGAGCCCCUCCGCCGUACAAUGGAGGGAUUGGACGACCGUGA